GUUGCUUCUUACUGGUGAACGCUCUCUGAUAAAACGGUGAGGGAUGUUCAUGUUUCCGAAGCAUAGAUUAAAUAAAUUUAUGCCAGUUUUAAACAGCGCUGUGCUUUUUAUCUUACUAGCACUGUGCUACCUGUCUCCUGGUAUAUUC
rnacentral:snoRNA from 1 species